CCCUUAGACGUUCUGGGCCGCACGAGCGCUACACUGACCAGUGCAACAAGCAUCCGUCCUUGGCCGACAGGCCCGGGCAAUCUUUGAACGCUGGUCGUGAUGGGGAUAGACUUUUGCAAUUUUUGGUCUUCAACGAGGAAUUCCUAGUAAACGCAAGUCAUCAACUUGCAUUGAUUACGUCCCUGCCCUUUGUACACACCGCCCGUCGCACCUACCGAUUGAAUGGUCCGGUGAAGCCUCCGGAUUGGCGCGCACCUCGGUGCCGCCGAGAAGUUGGCUAAACCUUACCAUUUAGAGGAAGGUGAAGUCGUAACA
rnacentral:rRNA from 1 species